rnacentral:rRNA from 1 species
UUGGGCUGUUCGCCCAUUAAAGUGGUACGCGAGCUGGGUUCAGAACGUCGUGAGACAGUUCGGUCCCUAUCCGUCGCAGGCGUAGGAAAUUUGAGAAGACCUAUCCUUAGUACGAGAGGACCGGGAUGGACGUACCUCUGGUGUACCAGUUGUCCUGCCAAGGGCAUGGCUGGGUAGCUAUGUACGGAAUGGAUAAGCGCUGAAA